AGUCGACACUUUUGUCGCUCCCCUCUUCUUGGAGUGCCGUCUGCACUCGCCCCUGCAUACGCGUCCGGUGAAGCUGUAAAAGCCAUCCACGGCCAACAGCAAACACAUUAAAAAAAAAAAUUUGGACGGGGCCAAUAAUGAAGUGUGCGGUCUAUGUACUUGUUACAUACUCGCACACGAUUAUUCCGUGCAUCUGAUAGGCGUGUCAUACAUUUGGGAAGCAUUUCAUUUCAUACAUGACAAUACGAAUUUGUCAUGCACGAGCAGCGUGUUUGUCGCACCGCACGCCGCCGCGCCGCCACCAUGAUCGUAUUGGUGAAUGACGGCACACUGCCACUGUCACUGUCGCUGUGUUCGAGGAAUCAUAAAUUGAACACUACGGGAAACCAUGACGGUGGUCGCCUCCUCCGUCAUACUAGGGAACAAGUGCGCUUUGUACGAUCUGAUUAGUUCAAGAUCAGUUUUUAAUUGUUGUUACCAGUACCGAUGAUGAUUGAUUAACGGUACCGAAAUAUUUUAUGCACGGUUUUGUCGGAUACUAGAAUUAUUUGGCCAUAUAAAUACAAAUGUUAGUGGAUUUCGUGAAAAUAAAACAUUGUUUGUUUAUUAUCUAGUUUGUUGAUCAAAUAUAUUUACAAGUAUGUUGCUUUACGCUCGGUCAUAAUUAUAAUGUUAUACUGAUGCCACUUGCAGACUACGUAAAACUCGCCGAGUACGUAGCGUACACUUGGCACUCGGCCGGAUUGUCUAUCUACUGUCAUUAUGCACAGCUUACGUUACAAUAUGUAACGAGACAGUUAAACAAUAGGUAAUGUAUAAUAAUAAGAAGCAGAGAACAAUAUUCAUGUUUCUACAACAUGUUCCGAGGUGAAUUUUCGAGAUAUGUAUUUAGAUUAGAUACCGCCAUUGAUUGUGCAUGUGCCGUGAAGUUCGGCUCGAACGCUAUGAUAGCUGCUCGUAUCUACAGGUAAUGUAGAAACAGUUCACACGUGGCUGGCUGCCUGUAGGCACGACUACGACGACGCAGUGGGACACUUUCUAAAGGUCGUGCGCUGGCGCUAUUGAUAUGUGAUUAUGGCUCGUGAACUCCGCAUGUGGACUCGAUGCAGAGCAGUGCGCAUGACUGUAUCAGGAGCCAGCGCAUUACCAUAUAGCGCGGGUGCUCGCUCAUGAAGUGCCUCCCGCACUACUACAGCAUGCGUGCGUCAUAUUAGUCAGCCAUCCCACCCCGUCCCACGGUCGGUGCCGUGUCAGCGUACAUUUUUUAAUAAAUGUCCCCUGAGUUACCUACCUUUCACAACAUCAUUUAUGUCAAUCAAUUCAAUUCAAUUUAUUUAUUGCAUUCUACAAUAUUAUUAUGAAAAAUAUUAAUAAUAAAUAAAGUGGAGCACUACAGUUAGCAGCGAGGAGGGCGUCGUUUUUUAAAUUCUCAUAAAGAUUUCAAUAAUUUCUAUUUAAAAAAUAAAAUCUAACGAUAUUAAGUUUAUUUUUAUUAGUCUGAUUGAUAAGUUUAUUUAUUUUCACUUAUUAUAUUUAAUUAAUUAUUAAUCCAAAUAUUUUUGUUGAAAUUUAGUUUAUAAAUAAAGGCUAUCUAAUUUUAA